AUUGAACGCUGGCGGCAUGCCUUACACAUGCAAGUCGAACGGCAGCAUGGAGAGCUUGCUCUCUGAUGGCGAGUGGCGAACGGGUGAGUAAUGCAUCGGAACGUACCGUGUAAUGGGGGAUAACGUAGCGAAAGUUACGCUAAUACCGCAUACGACCUGAGGGUGAAAGCAGGGGACCGCAAGACCUUGCGUUAUACGAGCGGCCGAUGUCAGAUUAGCUAGUUGGUGAGGUAAAGGCUCACCAAGGCGACGAUCUGUAGCGGGUCUGAGAGGAUGAUCCGCCACACUGGACUGAGACACGGCCCAGACUCCUACGGGAGGCAGCAGUGGGGAAUUUUGGACAAUGGGGGCAACCCUGAUCCAGCCAUGCCGCGUGAGUGAAGAAGGCCUUCGGGUUGUAAAGCUCUUUCGGCCGGGAAGAAAUCGCACAGGCUAAUACUCUGUGUGGAUGACGGUACCGGCAUAAGAAGCACCGGCUAACUACGUGCCAGCCGCCGCAGUAA
rnacentral:rRNA from 1 species